UACGGAGGGUGCGAGGGUUAAUCGGAAUUACUGGGCGUAAAGCGCACGUAGGCGGUUGAGUAAGUCUGCCGUGAAAGCCCUGGGCUUAACCGAGGAAUGGCGGUGGAGAAUGCUGAGCUAGAGUGUGAGAGAGGGGGGUGGAAUUCCCGGUGUAGCGGUGAAAUGCGUAGAGAACGGGAGGAACACCAGUGGCGAAGGCGGCCCCCUGGUUCAACACUGACGCUGAGGUGCGAAAGCGUGGGGAGCAAACAGG
rnacentral:rRNA from 1 species